AUUGAACGCUGGCGGCAGGCCUAACACAUGCAAGUCGAACGAGUGGCGGACGGGUGAGUAAUGUCUGGGAAACUGCCCGAUGGAGGGGGAUAACUACUGGAAACGGUAGCUAAUACCGCAUACCAUCGGAUGUGCCCAUAUGGGAUUAGCUUGUAGGUCAGGUAACGGCUUACCUAGGCGACGAUCCCUAGCUGGUCUGAGAGGAUGACCAGCCAAACUGGAACGGAGACACGGCCCAGACUCCUACGGGAGGCAGCAGUGGGGAAUAUUGCACAAUGGGCGCAAGCCUGAUGCAGCCAUGCCGCGUGUAUGAAGAAGGCCUUAGGGUUGUAAAGUACUUUCAGUGGGGAGGCGUUACCCGCAGAAGAAGCACCGGCUAACUCCGUGCCAGCAGCCGCGGUAAUUC
rnacentral:rRNA from 1 species